rnacentral:rRNA from 1 species
UUCUGGCUCAGAUUGAACGCUGGCGGCAUGCCUUACACAUGCAAGUCGAACGGCAGCACGGGUGCUUGCACCUGGUGGCGAGUGGCGAACGGGUGAGUAAUAUAUCGGAACGUACCCUAGAGUGGGGGAUAACGCAGCGAAAGUUGCGCUAAUACCGCAUACGAUCUACGGAUGAAAGUGGGGGAUCGCAAGACCUCAUGCUCAUGGAGCGGCCGAUAUCUGAUUAGCUAGUUGGUGGGGUAAAAGCCUACCAAGGCAUCGAUCAGUAGCUGGUCUGAGAGGACGACCAGCCACACUGGAACUGAGACACGGUCCAGACUCCUACGGGAGGCAGCAGUGGGGAAUUUUGGACAAUGGGCGCAAGCCUGAUCCAGCAAUGCCGCGUGAGUGAAGAAGGCCUUCGGGUUGUAAAGCUCUUUUGUCAGGGAAGAAACGGUGAGGGCUAAUAUCCUUUGCUAAUGACGGUACCUGAAGAAUAAGCACCGGCUAACUACGUGCCAGCAGCCGCGGUAAUACGUAGGGUGCAAGCGUUAAUCGGAAUUACUGGGCGUAAAGCGUGCGCAGGCGGUUAUGUAAGUCAGAUGUGAAAUCCCCGGGCUCAACCUGGGAAUGGCAUUUGAGACUGCAUGGCUAGAGUGUGUCAGAGGGGGGUAGAAUUCCACGUGUAGCAGUGAAAUGCGUAGAGAUGUGGAGGAAUACCGAUGGCGAAGGCAGCCCCCUGGGAUAACACUGACGCUCAUGCACGAAAGCGUGGGGAGCAAACAGGAUUAGAUACCCUGGUAGUCCACGCCCUAAACGAUGUCUACUAGUUGUCGGGACUUAAUUGUCUUGGUAACGCAGCUAACGCGUGAAGUAGACCGCCUGGG